GCCUGGGUGGCUCAGUCGGUUGAGCAUCUAACUCUUGAUUUCGGCUCAGGUCAUGAUCCCAGGGUCGUGGGUUCGAGCCCCACAUCAGGCU
rfam:Felis catus isolate Cinnamon breed Abyssinian chromosome C2, whole genome shotgun sequence.